GAUGAACGCUGGCGGCGUGCCUAAUACAUGCAAGUCGAGCGAACGGACGAGAAGCUUGCUUCUCUGAUGUUAGCGGCGGACGGGUGAGUAACACGUGGAUAACCUACCUAUAAGACUGGGAUAACUUCGGGAAACCGGAGCUAAUACCGGAUGAUAUUUUGAACCGCAUGGUUCAAAAGUGAAAGACGGUCUUGCUGUCACUUAUAGAUGGAUCCGCGCUGCAUUAGCUAGUUGGUAAGGUAACGGCUUACCAAGGCAACGAUGCAUAGCCGACCUGAGAGGGUGAUCGGCCACACUGGAACUGAGACACGGUCCAGACUCCGACGGGAGGCAGCAGUAGGGAAUCUUCCGCAAUGGACGAAAGCCUGACGGAGCAACGCCGCGUGAGUGAUGAAGGUCUUCGGAUCGUAACACUCUGUUAUUAGGGAAGAACAUAUGUGUAAGUAACUGUGCACAUCUUGACGGUACCUAAUCAGAAAGCCACGGCUAACUACGUG
rnacentral:rRNA from 1 species